rnacentral:rRNA from 1 species
UACGUAGGGGGCAAGCGUUGUCCGGAAUCAUUGGGCGUAAAGAGCGUGUAGGCGGCCCGGUAAGUCCGCCGUGAAAGUCCAGGGCUCAACCCUGGAAUGCCGGUGGAAACUGCCGGGCUGGAAUCCGGAAGAGGCGAGUGGAAUUCCUGGUGUAGCGGUGAAAUGCGCAGAUAUCAGGAGGAACACCAAUGGCGAAGGCAGCUCGCUGGGACGGUACUGACGCUGAGACGCGAAAGCGUGGGGAGCAAACAGG